GGGGGUGUGUUGGAAGUCCCACAUCGACUAGAGAUAAGGCUAAAUUAUAAUAUAUAAGUGAGGUGCAAACCUCACCUUAUAAGACGGUUUUGUAGGGUUGAGUUAGGCCUAAAACUCACUUCUAAUAUUAACAAUUUAUAAGAUCAGAUAAGUCUUACCGUGUGAAUCCUGGAUUCCAAUAUUAAAAAUUUUCAAUACAUAGGAAAAAAUAGGGACCUUCUCAUCAUUUACGUUUUUUGAAUUGAAAAAACCUAAUCCGAUUAUUCGAUUGGAACCCCUUACCAAUAGAAUACCUAGAUUACAAAAAAAAGGAUUUUUUGUCAAAAGAAUUAUUGAUAAUUUGUAAUAUAAUAAUCGACUCUUACUAUCAA
rnacentral:lncRNA from 1 species